UACGUAGGGUGCAAGCGUUGUCCGGAAUUAUUGGGCGUAAAGAGCUCGUAGGCGGUCUGUCGCGUCUGCUGUGAAAACUCAGGGCUUAACCCUGAGCUUGCAGUGGGUACGGGCAGACUAGAGUGCGGUAGGGGAGACUGGAAUUCCUGGUGUAGCGGUGAAAUGCGUAGAUAUCGGGAGGAACACCAGUGGCGAAGGCGACUACCUGGCCUGUUUCUUGACGCUGAGGCGCGAAAGCUAGGGGAGCAAACGGG
rnacentral:rRNA from 1 species